GAAAGAGGGGGAUCUUAAAGCUUGGCAUGGGAGGCAAUCCCACCAGGCCGCUCAAUCCCCAAAGCGGGUUGCCAACAGCAGCCCUUCCCGUUUAGUCUCGUCCCACCCACGUAAGAGUGGACCACGCCCCCUUAGCUGUAGCCCCGCCUCUCUAGACUGUUUUGGUUAUGGAGUCAGCCCAGCUCCCCAUCAGGCCGAUUCUGUCUACAUCUGAGAUGGCCCCGCCCUUCAGGAUCCGUUUGAAUGAGGAGCAGCUGGGACCAGCCGGCUGGGUGGGACGACCGCAAUGGCCCAAGCGAAAUCUAGACCUGGAUUUUUCGGCCACGGAGGCCAGGAUUCCAGAUCCGGGUACACUCGGCCUUCGAGGCAUCCUCCAGACACCUGGGAAGUCCCUCCUAUCACCUAACUCCGAUUUUUCCUGCUGCAGUGACGGAUCAGCUUAUCUUGGUCUCCAACUUCAGGGAUGGUAGGUUAGAGGAGUCCAGAAGUAGACCCUGGAUGAGGGUUUGAAUCCUCCCCUUCUUUGUCCAAGCUCCAGGCUAGGAUGUAGCCUGAGUCUGGAGCCACCUAGGCUUUAUCUAAACUCCUCCAGAUUAUGUAGCGUGGGUCUGGGCUCCAAGGAGGAUCAGAAGGACCAGACCCCAGGCAGGCUUUGAGAUGAAGCUUUGA